GACAGAGGGUGCAACCGUUGUUCGGAAUUACUGGGCGUAAAGCGCGUGUAGGCGGCCCUGCAAGUCGGGUGUGAAAUCCCACGGCUCAACCGUGGAAGUGCACUCGAAACUGCAGGGCUAGAGUCCUGGAGAGGAAGGUGGAAUGCUUGGUGUAGAGGUGAAAUUCGUAGAUAUCAGGAGGAACACCGGUGGUGUAGACGGCUUACUGGACCACGACUGACACUGAGGCACGAAAGCGUGGGUAGCUAACAGG
rnacentral:rRNA from 1 species